UGCGCAACGGAAGUGAUGGUAAAAAUGAUGGGGGAUAAGUAUGCGGGCGUAGAGAAAAAUAUCGACCGUAAGAUGAGCGAUGGCUGACGAUACAUGUGGGGGGGAAGGGGGAGGGUAUUUGAGCACACCCCUAUUUACAUCUCUCCUGACGACUGUCAAAAAACAUCCCCCAGUAAAUGCUUUGUUUAGGAAGACAAAGUUCUUCAUCGUCUGUAAUUUGCCGGGAGGCCUGUGGUCUAGCAAUCAGCCUCGUUACCAAGAAGACAUGCAGAGACUGGUACCGACUUUGAAACAUCCCGCCAUUUUCCUCAGCAGUUUUUGCUCGUGUUCAGUAGGGUAGUUCACGGUUUUGAUGGUGAAAACCUUGAAUUACGUUUUAAAAUGUUUUUCUUGUACUACAGAAAACGUUGUUUGCACGUCGUUAAAGGAGAAAUUUCUCCAAGAAUGGGGCAAGACCAUGGUGGAGGUAAUAAAAGGAUCUACACGUUAAAGGAUGAAUGUGUUCAAAUAUUGGCUUGUAGAAAGGUCGUUGGACUUAUUCUCAAUAUCAAACCUAUCAAAGUAAGAAGCGGCACCUCUACUAAUACUGCUGUCUCUGAAAAUAGCUUGCAAUAAAAGCACUGGCUCCUUGCAUAAUGGUCUGAGCUCCCACACUUGAAACAGUGGAUGCAGUGCUCCAGAUUUUCUCGCUGACAUCGAUGGCAACGAGGAGGUCUGGCUGGUCUAUCAGGCUUGGUCUCACCCCUGGGUUGGCCUGUGGUCUGGUGCACCCUCUCUUCAACUGCUGCAAUUUCUCCCCUCAACUGCUGUAGCUCUUUAACGGGGCGACCCUCAACUGCCUUGUCAUUUAAACCUCCUUCCCUUUCUUCAUUGAAGUUUCCCUUGUGCAUGGGCCCAGAUCCCUUUUGGACUGUUUCUUUGACUGCAGCAAUCUCGACUCAUAAUUCCUGGAGUUCUUUCACGAGAUCCCUGUCAUCAAUGGGGCCCCCCUUACUAGACCCUGAUAUCUGGCUGAUCUUGGUUUUCGACCUAGGAUCCAACGUAUGGUUCCUCUCUGUCUCAUUGCUGACACAGGAGUUUAGGUCUCAAAAACGUCCUCAUCAGAUAGUGCUGUGUCUCUCAUUUCUGUUUUGACCCCAUCACUAAUUUGUCCUAUAUUCUUUUCUUUGCCCAACACCGAAACAUUGUUAUCCCUUCGAUUCCCUCUGUAGACACGCUUAUUUUACAAGAAAGUGUUUCAGCCUUAGUCUACACACUUGUAUUACAAACACAGAUAUUCUUCUGUUGUAGAUCUUUGGAAAUCUUUUUCGUUGCAUUAUUUCGCUUGUACUUGGUCUUUUCUAUCAAUUUGCGUGCACAAUUUGUCAAAACUGUUGGCCGAGCUCCUCCUUGGCUUGUCUUCAAAGGACUCUUUUUUCCCCCAUUUGUUAACCAUCGUCUGGUUUUCUUCCGCUUCUUCGCAAUUUCUUUGGUGGAAUGACCCAAAAUUCUCAAAGUAGGUCCCUGAGCUCUGACACAAGCACCACCACCCCCUUCAUUUUUGUACAAUUACAGGAAUAACCUCUGUUGCGGCUUAAGCGGAGCUCGGGACAGCUUAUCGAGUGCUUCUUUGAAUACUUUGUAUUCAGCAGCUUUCGCGCCCUGGGCUCCAAUGCUAGUGCUCAAGUACUUUUUCGUCUCAUUUGUGACGAGAGAUCGAAUUUUGCCGCCGGACGCACGUAGGAAGGGGGUAGGGUUUACAACCCACCGCUUAGCUUUACCAUCAAUCACAAUGUUCACCGAAGCAGAUUUACCACCGUCCCCCGUACUGAGAGGGAGACCACAGAGCGCUAGACUCUUUUCAAUUGAGUUCAGCUGGCCUGUCAGUCCAGCAUCGGUCUCCGAUAGGAGAACCAGGUCAUCAGCGUAAGCUAGAAAGGAGACUCGAGACUCCCCUAGUAAGACGCCUAUGUUUGGGUCGAGAUCUGAGACCGCCCAGUCAAUGACGCAGUUGAAUAGCGUCGAACUCAAUGGAUCCCCUUGCUUUACCCCUUGGGAUACCUUAACAGAGUCACUGCUAUCGCCCCCAACUCCAAAGACUGUCUACGAGAGUAAGUACAGUUCAUUGAUGUACGUUAGGAGCGGCCCCGGGCACUCUAAGACGCUUCGCCGCAAUUAAAAGUGAUUGGUGACUAACCGUAUCCAAGGCCUUUUUCACAUCCAACAAGACCAGCUUGAGUGGCUCAGCAAAUCAGUGCUGCGUCUGAUUUGAGUACGGAGUAGCCAGAUGUUCUGGAAUAUUCCGUCACCCUUGCGAAAACCCCACUGGCCCGCCCCCAAUGGCAGUACAGCUUCCAUUUGCUUUCUCAGAAUCUGGUGGAAGAGUCUUACAACCACCGAGCCGAUUGUGAUUGGCCUGUGAUGGAGGGGCAGUUGGGUGUUUAUCUCCUUAGGCACAAAUAUUGUUCGGCAUUCUGUUAGGCGUUUGGGCCGAGCACCAGCCAACAGCCACAAGAGUGAGCUGCUAGGGAGGCGGCGCCAUGGUUUUAAGGACAGCACAAGGCACUCCAUCUGGACCGCUAGCUGAUUUCUUGGAGGAAAUUGCGUCAUCUACUUCUGCGAUAGUAACUGGUCUUAGAAGCUGCCACAGAACCGGCCCAGCUGGGGCCGGCUCUUGGACGUCCGUCGUGGAUGGUUUUUAGAAAAUCUCUCGAUUUACCCAACUUGACCUCGACAGACAACAAAGACGUGUCGAUUGCAUCGAGAAGCUUUUUCUGAUCACUACUGCUCUUCCGCAAGAGGCAUUCCUUUCCCAAUGUUGUGAUACAAUUGUUCCCCUGUGUGCAUUUCAUCCCUUUUUCCGGCUGCACCCUGAAAAAUACACACUGGGUGCUUAGGACUGUCGACAGUCAGUUGGCCGGGGUGGUGGGUCGCAUCGGGCGGAUCUUUUGCCUUUCUUUUACUUUUUCGGAGGGUAACAUUUCCCUCAUCAAUGUUGAACUCUGCCCUGCUGGUAUCGUAGGCAGGCUGUUUUCGACUAUUAGUGCCUGCCUUGGUUGUUUUGGCGAGUUGAUGGCCCACCUGGAUAUUACCCACUAACUCCACCGAUGCUGCCCGUCCUGCCUAACCGGGAACGUUGGAUGUAGUUUGCACACACACGUUGUCCUUCCUAUCCUUAAGGACUCCUGAAUCAAUCACCUCUGCCUCGGAGCAUUCAGCACGAAUCUGCUCCAGAAUCCGUAUGUAGUUCCUAUUCUUGGUUUUGAGACCUUUUAUGGCGUCAAAAGUUCUAUGUGGAACUGCUUCUCGCAUCCCUUUAAUUACUGCGCUACACCUACUCUUUUCCAAAGUUAUUUAGUUUCUGGCCACAAGUACCAUUUCAUCGUUCGUCCAUCUUGCCUUUGCCCGUGUUGCGGUCUGCUUUUCUGCGUGGUACACCGUAGCAUGCUUGAUCCUUCGAUGAAUCGAUAGCCCCCCAAGAGACUUGCAAGCAAGGCCACACAAAUUGCAUACUAGGCUGCCCUCACUGACAGCCCCCAAAAGCGCUGAGGUAGGAUCAGCAGUGGCCGAUCCGUCCCUCUUGUCAUAAUUGUUCUCUGUAACCCCUCAGCUUUCUGCCUCUGGGAUGGUUGGCCCCAGAGCCAGUUGGUUGGCAUUAGUUUCAGGAGCAGGUCGAAGGGCGGCAUUACGAUUUUAUGCCUUCCACCACUCGCCAAGGGCGGUAUACCUUCUCGGUCUGUGGUGUCCCUUUCCCCUAUACCCCUUACUUACAACUCCGCCACAAGAAGGCUCCAACCAAAAGACAAUUGGCGGGAAAUUGGAAAUCACAAUCAAAUGUUAAAAUAUCACGGAUAGAUUCACCUAGUUGUUUUCUUUCAUGUCCUAUACGAAUAUGGUUUAAUGCAAUUAUAAAUGGGGACGAACUUCCGGAACACCCUGUAGAUCCCCUUUUACACAUGCUUGCCAGAGGUUCAACAUCAUUUUUGUAUACAGACACAACAAAUGUUGACAACUUAAUUUUGGAAGUAAGAACAGUAUUCUGAACAGAUUUGCUUAAAAAUAAUAAAUCUCUCAAAUGCGAACUGUUCGAAGAACAACAAUUCCGCUUCUGCUAUUUCUGUUCAAAUGACGUUUUUCGUGACAAUUUUAUAUUAUAAAAGCUAAUUAUAUAAGUUAUAGGUUUCCAAGCUAAUUAUUCUAAACGAAAUACGAGUCUAAGCCAGACCAAAAGGCAAAAAGAUUAAACGAAUGUAUGUUAUCUCUGAUAUUUUCUCUGCUUUGAUUUUUGUUUGGUAAGAACAAUAAAGGUUAGUUUUGUAAAUUCUUUCUUUCUGAACAACUAGUUUGCACUAGUCCUAGAGGUCCUUUCAAAUUAAAACUAGUCGUAGAUAAUUAAUGAAUAGUAAUAAAUGACACAUGAA